AUGUCGAGCCGUGGCACCAUCCAGCUACAAGAGUCGGCCGCCCAGGACGGCAAUGUCGGCAAGAUACUCCACAGGACAGAGGACAAGGGGAAAGAGUACGACAAUAUUGUGAGAUCAAGAGUUAUGAUUUGUGAGGGAACAAAUAAUUUUCUUGAUCUUUGUGUUGACGAGAUGGCGGCUUUCCUAGGGUGGCAUUGUGUCCGAUGGGGGCAGGGUUGCACCAUGGGGAACUGUGAAUGCCAUUUGGGUUGGAAGAAUACAAUCAAUGAUGGAUUGACACAGACCUUUGUCGAGUUAAAACAUGAAGAAUAUUGA
rnacentral:rRNA from 1 species